rnacentral:rRNA from 1 species
UAUAAUCUGGCACCUUCGGUGUCCGAGUUGUAAUCUCUAGAAGUGUUUUCCGCGUUGGACCGCACACAAGUCUGUUGGAAUACAGCGGCAUAGUGGUGAGACCCCCGUAUAUGGUGCGGACGCCCAACGCUUUGUGAUACACUUUCGAAGAGUCGAGUUGUUUGGGAAUGCAGCUCAAAUUGGGUGGUAAAUUCCAUCUAAAGCUAAAUAUUGGCGAGAGACCGAUAGCGAACAAGUACCGUGAGGGAAAGAUGAAAAGCACUUUGGAAAGAGAGUUAACAGUACGUGAAAUUGUUGGAAGGGAAACGCUUGAAGUCAGACUUGCUUGCCGAGCAAUCGGUUUGCAGGCCAGCAUCAGUUUUCCGGGGUGGAUAAUGGUAGAGAGAAGGUAGCAGUUUCGGCUGUGUUAUAGCUCUCUGCUGGAUACACCUUGGGGGACUGAGGAACGCAGUGUGCCUUACGGCGGAUUUCUCGAGAUCUUCACACUUAGGAUGCUGGUGGAAUGGCUUUAAACGACCCGUCUUGAAACACGGACCA